rnacentral:rRNA from 1 species
UACGGGGGGGGCAAGCGUUGUUCGGAAUUACUGGGCGUAAAGGGUCUGUAGGUGGCUUGUUAAGUCAGACGUGAAAUCCCUCAGCUUAACUGGGGAACUGCGUCUGAUACUGGCGAGCUUGAGUGCAGGAGAGGAACGCGGAAUUCCAGGUGUAGCGGUGAAAUGCGUAGAUAUCUGGAGGAACACCGGUGGCGAAGGCGGCGUUCUGGACUGCAACUGACACUGAGACGCGAAAGCGUGGGGAGCAAACAGG